GUUUACAAGUACCGCGAGGGAACGGUGAAAAGCACUCUGAUAAGAGGGUGAAAAGCGUCUAAAACUGUAUAGCGUAAAUCGUAACGAUACACAUCAAACACACACGGACGCGCAGUGGGUAAACCGCUAUUAUACGUGCCGGUGUGAUACUACUAGCCCGAAAGGGUGAUUACAAAAUGGCUUUAUCGCCUAUGAUAUGAGUAAUAUAGUCAGCAAACGUACGAGAAGGAUAGUUGUUAAAGGCCGUCAGUCUUAAUACGGUUGAGGAUUAUGUUGCAAGUAGUUAUGGCAUGCCAUUCAGUAGUGUUAAUAUCGUAUGUGUUGGUUACGUCCCGUCUUGAAACACGGACCAAGGAGUCUAA
rnacentral:rRNA from 1 species